rnacentral:rRNA from 1 species
GACGAACGCUGGCGGCGUGCUUAACACAUGCAAGUCGAGCGGUAAGGCCCUUCGGGGUACACGAGCGGCGAACGGGUGAGUAACACGUGAGCAAUCUGCCCUUCACUCUGGGAUAGCCACCGGAAACGGCGAUUAAUACCGGAUAUGACCCUGCCAGGCAUCUGGUGGGGUGGAAAGUUCUGGCGGUGAAGGAUGGGCUCGCGGCCUAUCAGCUUGUUGGUGAGGUAAUGGCUCACCAAGGCUUCGACGGGUAGCCGGCCUGAGAGGGUGACCGGCCACACUGGGACUGAGACACGGCCCAGACUCCUACGGGAGGCAGCAGUGGGGAAUAUUGGACAAUGGGCGAAAGCCUGAUCCAGCAACGCCGCGUGAGGGAUGACGGCCUUCGGGUUGUAAACCUCUUUCAGCAGGGACGAAGCGAAAGUGACGGUACCUGCAGAAGAAGCACCGGCCAACUACGUGCCAGCAGCCGCGGUAA